UUUAAUAGAUACAGAGCUUCCCACAACAUUCCCCUCCUCACUAACUCUGAUGUUGACUUGCUCCAAAACUCUAUCAGCUGUUUCACUCACAGCCUCAUUGUCCACUGUCUUGGAAACAUCCCCGGCAACAUCAGGUGAAGUCAAACCAAUAGAUUCAGUGCUCCUGACAAUAUUACCCUCAUCAUCACUGAAGCUGACUUGCUGUACGACAGUACAAGCUGUUACACUCGGAAUAAUUUCAGCGCUAGAUGUCACAGAAACAUCCCCAGAUGACCUUACAACAUCAAGUACAACUUCAACACCAUUUCCAGUAUUCCCAGAUGAGUCCUCAGCAUCCCUUGACAGAGAAUCUCUAUAAGCGUCAACUCCUUUACCCGAUCCGUCAUGCCCCAAUUCAGCACCAUCACCACAAACCCCAUCAACAAACACAUCAGAGCCUACCACCUCCACAACAUCCCCGGCAACAUCAGGUGAAGUCAAACCAACAGAUUCAGUGCUCCUGACAAUAUUACCCUCAGCAUCACUGAAGCUGACUUGCUGUACGACAGUACAAGCUGUUACACUCGGAAUAAUUUCAGCGCUAGAUGUCACAGAAACAUCCCCAGAUGAC
rnacentral:lncRNA from 1 species